rnacentral:rRNA from 1 species
GACGAACGCUGGCGGCGUGCUUAACACAUGCAAGUCGAACGGUAAGGCUCCAGCUUGCUGGGGUACACGAGUGGCGAACGGGUGAGUAACACGUGGGUGACCUGCCCUGCACUUCGGGAUAAGCCUGGGAAACUGGGUCUAAUACCGGAUAGGACCGCACCGUGAGGGUGUGGUGGAAAGUUUUUUCGGUGUGGGAUGGGCCCGCGGCCUAUCAGCUUGUUGGUGGGGUAAUGGCCUACCAAGGCGGCGACGGGUAGCCGGCCUGAGAGGGUGGACGGCCACAUUGGGACUGAGACACGGCCCAGACUCCUACGGGAGGCAGCAGUGGGGAAUAUUGCACAAUGGGCGGAAGCCUGAUGCAGCGACGCCGCGUGGGGGAUGACGGCCUUCGGGUUGGAAACUCCUUUCACCAUCGACGAAGGGUUUCUGACGGUAGAUGGAGAAGAAGCACCGGCUAACUACGUG